AAAGAAAAGUAAAACAAAACAAAACAAACCACAGAAUAAUGGCACCCUCACCAAAGGUAGAGGUGGACACGGAGAAUUUACAGAAACUCAAUAUUAACAAUGGUGGAUGAUUGCAGACCUCUGGGUUUCUUGCUAGGGAUGCCAUUUGCUUUACUUUCUUCAGUAUUGUCUCUCAUUGCCCUUGUCGUGUGGCUUCUUGGGUCAAUUGUGAGUUGCAUAUGCCCAUGUUGUGAGUGUUGCGCGGGAUUAUUGAAUUUGACGAUGACUAUUGCCAAACUUCCCGUUGAAGUGAUCAGAUGGUUUAUAAGUAGAAUUCCUUUGUGAUAAUAUAUGAUCACUUCUUGUACUUCUGUAAUAUUCUGUUCUUUUUUCUUUUUAUCACCCGCCUACUUAAGAGGUGUUGAUUUUUUAGUUUAAACAUUCUUUUUUUUCUCCCUGUAA